GUGAGUCUCUAGGGGAUUAGCAAGCUAUAAUUUCUCACUUAAUCCCUGAACGACUUGCAG
rnacentral:pre_miRNA from 1 species